rnacentral:rRNA from 1 species
UAAAGAGUUCUAUAACUCCCAAACCCAUGUGAACAUACCUAACGUUGCCUCGGCAGGUCGCACCUACCUUGUAGCACCCUACCCUGUAGGGCCUACCCGGGAGGUGCGGGUAAGCCUGCCGGCGGCCCACCAAACUCUGUUUGAUAUUGAAUUCUGAACCUAUAACUAAAUAAGUUAAAACUUUCAACAACGGAUCUCUUGGUUCUGGCAUCGAUGAAGAACGCAGCGAAAUGCGAUAAGUAAUGUGAAUUGCAGAAUUCAGUGAAUCAUCGAAUCUUUGAACGCAUAUUGCGCCCAUUAGUAUUCUAGUGGGCAGGACCGUUCGAGCGUCAUUUCAACCCUUAAGCCUUCGUUGCUUAGUGUUGGGAGCCUACGGCAACGUAGCUCCUCAAAGUUAGUGGCGGAGUUGGUUCACACUCUAGACGUAGUAAUUUUUUAUCUCGCCUAUUAGUUGGACUAAUCCCCUGCCGUAAAACCCCCAAUUUAUCAAGGUUGACCUCGAAUCGGUUCAGACAAACUCGCUAAAUUGAAGCAUCUUAGUCAGCGAAGGAAAAGAAACCAACAGGGAUUGCCCUAGUAACGGCGAGUGAAGCGGCAACAGCUCAAAUUUGAAAUCUGGCCCUCGGGUCCGAGUUGUAAUUUGUAGAGGAUGCUUUUGGC